UACGGGGGGGGGCAAGCGUUGUUCGGAAUUACUGGGCGUAAAGGGCUCGUAGGCGGCCAACUAAGUCCGACGUGAAAUCCCCAGGCUUAACCUGGGAACUGCGUCGGAUACUGGAUGGCUUGAAUCCGGGAGAGGGAUGCGGAAUUCCAGGUGUAGCGGUGAAAUGCGUAGAUAUCUGGAGGAACACCGGUGGCGAAGGCGGCAUCCUGGACCAUUACUGACACUGAAUAGCGAAAGCCAGGGGAGCAAACGGG
rnacentral:rRNA from 1 species